rnacentral:lncRNA from 1 species
CCUUCUGCCAAUAUUCUCGCUUUUUUGGCAACGAUUAGCUGUGAGGAGGCACAACUGGACCCGCCUUCUCCGAACUCAAUUAAAGAGUUCAUUGAUGGCGUUAAUCUUUACGGGGCAGAAAAUAGAUCCGGCUAAGGUGGGCGGGGCAGCAGGCGCGGAGGGAUCCUUGGCCUUUGAGGAAGGCGACGAGAAGCUCGGCGGCCAUCGCCGCCAUUUUGGGCUGGGAGGAGGCAGCGGAGGGACUCGCUGCGCACAUCAAGAAAGAAAACCAAGGCACUAGAAAGCAAGCACACUUAAGUAUUGAAGAUAAUUACAUCUUAAAUUUUGCCUGAACUGUAUAUUGUAGCAUACUUAAACCCAUUCAAGGAAAAAAUUGGCAAAUUGAAAAUUCUCCCAUUAAAGAUUGAUAUUUUUGCAAACUGACAAAUUUAACGAUUUCGGUACCCCUCCCCAAAAAUGCAGUCACAUAAAAUAUAUCAAUACUAUUUUGAAUUAGCUCUAGAAAUCACACUGAAACUAUGUUACAUUUACAAAUAUUAAAUUUAUUAUAACUAAAAUGAAUUUAAUUGUUCUCAGAUUUGGCCACCUUAUAGCUCCGUUUAAGGAGGGGAUUUGUUAAAAACAAAAAUGCAUUAUAACUUGGUCAAAUUACUUUCACAUUAAGGAAAAAAACUUCUAAAAAGGAAAACAAGAAAAGCAACUCUUCAGUUUCACAUAAUUAAAAGAACAGGAGAAAGCACGCAAGCUACAUAUAGCUAAAUUUACGAAACCAA